rnacentral:rRNA from 1 species
AUUGAACGCUGGCGGCAGGCCUAACACAUGCAAGUCGAACGGUAACAGGAAGAGGCUUGCUUCUUUGCUGACGAGUGGCGGACGGGUGAGUAAUGUCUGGGAAACUGCCUGAUGGAGGGGGAUAACUACUGGAAACGGUAGCUAAUACCGCAUAACGUCGCAAGACCAAAAAGGGGGACCUUCGAGCCUCUUGCCAUCGGAUGUGCCCAGAUGGGAUUAGCUAGUAGGUGGGGUAACGGCUCACCUAGGCGACGAUCCCUAGCUGGUCUGAGAGGAUGACCAGCCACACUGGAACUGAGACACGGUCCAGACUCCUACGGGAGGCAGCAGUGGGGAAUAUUGCACAAUGGGCGCAAGCCUGAUGCAGCCAUGCCGCGUGUAUGAAGAAGGCCUUCGGGUUGUAAAGUACUUUCAGCGGGGAGGAAGGGAGUAAAGUUAAUACCUUUGCUCAUUGACGUUACCCGCAGAAGAAGCACCGGCUAACUCCGUG